ACCCCAAUUCAGAGAAACCUAAACUCCGAUGAUAGCAAUUAUCGGUAGACUUUUCUUCAUCGUCGGUUGGAAUCACUGCAAUUCACCGUUAUCACAACCCACACUCCAUCUUUCAAUUAUGUUCUUAACUCAUUCCUUGAUGGUUUCGUUUCAACUUCCUAUGUUUCUCCUCUUUUAUAAAAUUACCUCAUCGAAUUUUCCAUCCAAGCAAACUCUACAAUCUCCAUAGAAAAAAAAAAUCAAGCAAUGUCUUUCUAUCAAAAAGCCCUCAGCUACAUUAUGUUAUAUUGAAAUCCAGUUUAGGUUUCUCUGGACUAUAUCUCUUUUUGUGGAUGCAUUGUGCAAUGGGGAUUCAUUCAAAUUUUAAAGUUUUGGGGAUAGAAGAGCAAGCAAAUCCAUCUCUCUGAACCUGAAAGCAACAAGGAUGGGGAUGAUAAAAGUGAGAACACAACCAGAAGUCAGGACAGGGAAUGCGACAAAAUCAUCACGGCAGCAACGGACGUGAAACCUCCAUCAAGCUCAUCACCUUUCCAUUAUAAAUAGAAUCUCCAUCAACAUCCGGUGGUGGUCUAAAACAUACUGCCCGUGCCGAGAAAGCUUGAUGGGACGCGAGUGUGCACAAGUAAAGAUAUAAUGAGGUGUACAAAAUCUACAAUACCCAAGUGAGGAUUCAGAUACUUGCAGAGUGCAUAAACGUAACACAUGAGAGAUCAGGUGUUACGAGGCCUUUAUAUUGGAAUUGAUACUCAUCACAUUGCUACGACAAGCAAAACGGUUGAAGAACACACGGAUAUGCAAAACGCAGCUGGCAGUCCCAUAAGGGUAUUGCAGGAGCGAACGCAUUUGCGCAUGAAAGUGGAUUUCAUGAGGUCAGUUGACGCCUUCUCUUAUUGCAAAGAAUCAACAGAGCUACAGAUAAGUGGUAUCUUCAAGGAACCAAAGAUUAAGGAUUGGUUUCUCUCCUCUCUUGCUUUAUGUGGCGAGAGAGACUCCCUUACGCAGCUAAACCUAAAGAAGAGUUUGACUUGCUCUCUUCUCCUGCAUAUCCAAGAAAACCUUUACCUGGGUCCAUAAACGUAUUGCCUUUUGUGUCAAUGUGACAGGUCGAUAUUGAUGCUUAGAGUUUUGUGGAUCCGAGUUUUGUGCAUUCGGUCAAAACUAAUUGGUAAAGUACAUCUUUAAGUUAAACUAGAAGAAGCUAUUUUUAAUCAUGUCUCGACUUGUGAUGCCAUUUUUUUAUUAUCGGUUAAAUUACUGAAACAAAAGCAGCGAAGAGUUUUAUUUGUACAACAUUUUUCUUCAGAUUUUGUAACGUGUAUUAGGAAUUAUAAAAAACAGGAGGUAGUUUUCUAUUUA